ACAGUCACACAUUAGAUACCCCCGUAGUCCUGGCCGUAAACGAUGUGGACUUGGUGUUGGAAUGGCUCCGAGCUGCUCCAGUGCCGAAGGGAAGCUGUUAAGUCCACCGCCUGGGAAGUACGGUCGCAAGACUGAACUUAAAGGAAUUGGCGGGGGAGCACCACAACGCGUGGAGCCUGCGGUUUAAUUGGAUUCAACGCCGGACAUCUCACCAGGGCGACAGCAGAAUGAUGGCCAGGUUGAUGACCUUGCUUGACAAGCUG
rnacentral:rRNA from 1 species